rnacentral:rRNA from 1 species
CCUACGUGAGGCAGCAGUGGGGAAUAUUGCGCAAUGGGCGAAAGCCUGACGCAGCGACGCCGCGUGAGGGAUGAAGGUCUUCGGAUCGUAAACCUCUGUCAGCAGGGAAGAACGGUCACUGUGCUAAUCAGCAGUGAAUUGACGGUACCUGCAAAGGAAGCACCGGCUAACUCCGUGCCAGCAGCCGCGGUAAUACGGAGGGUGCGAGCGUUAAUCGGAAUUACUGGGCGUAAAGCGCUCGUAGGCGGUAUGUCAAGUCAAGGGUGAAAUCCCCGCGCUCAACGUGGGAACUGCAUUUGAAACUGGCAAACUGGAGUGUGUGAGAGGAUAGUGGAAUUCCAGGUGUAGGAGUGAAAUCCGUAGAUAUCUGGAGGAACAUCAGUGGCGAAGGCGACUAUCUGGCACAUAACUGACGCUGAGGAGCGAAAGCGUGGGUAGCAAACAGGAUUAGAUACCCUAGUAGUC